ACGCUGGCGGCGUGCCUAACACAUGCAAGUCGAGCGGCAGCGAGUUUUACACUGAAUUCUGGAAGCUUCUGGUUGAAAGAGAAGAUUUAUUCAAGAGUUUUGUGUAAAAUGUCGGCGAGCGGCGGACGGCUGAGUAACGCGUGGGAACGUACCCCAAAGUGAGGGAUAACGCAUCGAAAGGUGUGCUAAUACCGCAUAUGGUCUUCGGAUUAAAGCCUUCGGGCGCUUUGGGAACGGCCUGCGUAAGAUUAGAUAGUUGGUGGGGUAAUGGCCUACCAAGUCAACGAUCUUUAACUGGUUUGAGAGGAUGAUCAGUCAGACUGGAACUGAGACACGGUCCAGACUCCUACGGGAGGCAGCAGUGAGGAAUCUUCCACAAUGGGCGAAAGCCUGAUGGAGCAACGCCGCGUGCAGGAUGAAGGCCUUCGGGUUGUAAACUGCUUUUAUAAGUGAGGAAUAUGACAGUAACUUAUGAAUAAGGAUCGGCUAACUACGUGCCAGCAGCCGCGGUCAUACGUAGGAUCCGAGCGUUAUCCGGAGUGACUGGGCGUAAAGAGUUGCGUAGGUGGUUUAAUAAGCGAAUAGUGAAAUCUGGUGGCUCAACCAUUCAGACUAUUAUUCGAACUGUUAAACUCGAGAGCAGAAGAGGUAGCUGGAAUUUCUAGUGUAGGAGUGAAAUCCGUAGAUAUUAGAAGGAACACCGAUGGCGUAGGCAGGCUACUGGGCUGUUUCUGACACUGAGGCACGAAAGCGUGGGGAGCGAACCGGAUUAGAUACCCGGGUAGUCCACGCCGUAAACGAUGGAUACUAGCUGUUUGGGGUAUCGACCCCCUGAGUAGCGAAGCUAACGCGUUAAGUAUCCCGCCUGUGGAGUACGAUCGCAAGAUUAAAACAUAAAGGAAUUGACGGG
rnacentral:rRNA from 1 species